rnacentral:rRNA from 1 species
UGCGUAGGCGGUUUGUUAAGUCAUUUGUAAAAGAUCUCAGCUCAACUGAGUAAGGCGAAUGAAACUGGCAGACUUGAAUACGGUAGAGGUAAGUGGAAUUCCAUGUGUAGCGGUGGAAUGCGUAGAUAUAUGGAGGAACACCAAUGGCGAAGGCAACUUACUGGGCCGGAAUUGACGCUGAGGCACGAAAGCGUGGGGAGCAAACAGGAUUAGAUACCCUGGUAGUCA